UCUGUAGUAAAGUAAGUGAAUCACUCGUCUCUAGUAAAGUGUAAAUUAGACUCCCAGCAUUCCAUGCCGGGAGGGGGACCUACCACAGGGGCUUUGAAAUGUUUAUAGGAAGAGGGUAUAUAUUCGAUUAUUACAAACUGUUCAAAACACUACAAAAGUAUAAUGUUUAAAACUGUGUUGCCAAGUUUAUUUGUGUCAAGCACUGACAUAUGGAAAGAAGCUGUAUAUAUCGUUACAUCAAAUAUUUGACUUAUAAUCAAAUUUUUGAUCAGUCUUUUGAUUCAUAGAAUCUUAAAAGCAAGACACCUUCUUGAUAUACUUUGCUGCUGCAGCAUGCCCAGUAUCUAGGAUUAGAAAUGUAUGAAGUCCAUUGAGACCGACUGUGCGAGGUAUUGUUAAAGUUGGGCGUCGUGCAGACAAAACCAAUUGCUUAAUGUUUAAAUGGUCUCUAUUUAAAUGCGAAUUACGUUAGGAAUACUAAUGCCUGGCACACAUCUUUGUGUUAAAUGUAAAAAUCUUGUCUCAUUGGAAGCUCUUAGUAGAGGACCCCCGAGAAGAAAAGGACAGUCAACAGAGAGGAGCUUUCUGAGAUGGAACCUUCAGGCGAUGCAGUUAGCCAAUUUUAACUGGAAUCAGAAAGCAGAUACCAGACUUUAAUCCACCUCUUCCAUUUAGAAAAUCAUAGAGCAGGGCUGGGAUUUGGCUCACUAGCAGAACACUUGCAUUGCAUGUGGGGAGCUUUAGGUUCAAACUCAAAUCUAAAAUAUAAGGCAAAAGCACACAGUGCUAUGCGUCUUUCUUCUCAUCACCGCUGCCCUAAUUUUUCUUAAUGUCCUCUGACGUCACUUUAGGGUGGGGAUCCCACACUGCUGUUCUCGUUACUGAUUGCAUGCUGACACCCGGAGAGGAGGUAUGUGUACCAUGUGCCUGCCUGGUGCCCGCAGAGACCACAAGAGGGCACCGGAUCCACUUGGAACUGAAUUGUAGACCACAGUGAAGGUGCUAGGAUCCAAACCCUCACGCUCUACAAGAGCGGCAAAAGAUCUUCCUUAACCACUCAGCCAUUUCUGCAGAACUCCCCUCCCACUCCCACCGUGUGAGCUAGGUCUUGCUACAUAACCCAAGCCUUGAAUUCCUGGCGAGUGCCCUGUCUCAGCCUCCUCAGGUAGAUAUUACAGAUAUAAGCCACACCUCCUGAUUUUUCAUGGAAUUUUAAAAUUUAAUGAUUAUCAUUUACAAAAGCCUUUAUGGAAUGUUGCUUUCAGUGUUAGGUAGUUUUAAAAAAUAGGAAACAGGUUAAAUAGUUUGAGUGAAAUAUUCCAUAAACCUUGUGGCUGCCAAAAAUAAGAGACGUGGAGGAAUUAAAACCAUUGUAGAGCUCCCAUACAUAAAACAUAUGCUUUUAAAUAUGAUUUGUUACUAAGAGCAAAUAAAUGUAACUCAUCACGUUGAGACAAAAACAGCCUGCAGUAGAUUGGUCCUUGUUUGAGGACAGAGACUGUGAGGUUGUUUGCUUUCCCGGUACCACCCUGUGAGUGAUCGUGACUUGAGGGAAUCAGUUAAUAAAUAAAUGGGAAAGAACCGUUCAGAACUAGCUUCUGGGCAGUCUGUUUCUCAGGCCUCCCCCAUUUCUCUCUUGAUGAGUACCUGCCCAGAUCAUCCGUGCUUUGCGUGAGCAAUAAGGAAAAGGGAAGUAAUGCAGAUGGCGGUGUCUCAAUGGUCAGAUGUCUGAAAUGAACAAAGUGCUUGCAGAUGUUUCAACUGGUGGAGGGGCUGGGCUCUACCUAGGCCAUAGGAAACAACUUCCACACCUUGAGGCUACUAUGAUAAGGGUAUCAUCACUCAUCUGGACAGGAUUCCAUUGGAAACUUGAAAAGCACUCUAGGAUGGAAUGCUGCAUGAAUCCAGACUUGCCUCAGGAAUGCUGCCAGGGCUCAGGUCUGAGUAUGGAAAUUAAUGUGAUUUGUAAGAAGUAGCCACCAGGAUCGUUGCUUAUCUGGAAAUCAGAUCCUUUAAUCACUGUAGACAGAGCUAAUGAAAGUAGAAGAAACCAUCAUUGAUUUUGAGGUUCGUCUCCUAAAUUAGUUGGCCUUUGGCUUUUGGAGAGCAAAGUUCAAAUUCCAGUUCCUGUUUAACAGGAAAGUAAGUCAGAUGCUAAGUGGAGAAUUUUGCGGAUUCCAGAUUGAAACAGCAGGACACAAUGGACUUCUGAGUCUUGAAGAAACCUUCUCUUGGGAGUUGCUAAAGUCAUCCCCCAAAUGAAAUAUUUCUUGUGGUGCCUUUCAAUCUGCUUUUUAAAUUUUUUUUGCACUGUGUCUUUUUUUUUUAACUUACUUGGUUUUAAAAGUAUUUGUGUGUCUUUAGACGUCAUUUUUGUCAUCCAAUGUAAAUUUUUAUAUUUUCUAAUAAAAGUCCUUUACAGUCUACAUUUUA